UUUUUUUUUGAUGUACCACUUUAAAAACAAAGUCAAAAGAAACAACUGUAGACAUCAAACUGGUAGAGUCAAUUUGAGACCCUUCCCUUAGAGACCAGAACCUGGUGUAACUUUCUCUUAACAAAGGUUAAUAGCCAGUGGAGGUCAGGGUGGGAACUCACUGAAUCCGCAUCACACAGAAUCAGGUACCUCUCACAUUCACGAAAGUGAAUUAUUUUUAAUCAGUUGUGCUGACAGUAUGCCUCUUGCAAAAAGAACUAGCCCUAGAGGCCGGGCGCGGUGGCUCACGCCUGUAAUCUCAGCACUUUGGGAGGCCGAGGUGCGCGGAUCACGAGGUCAGGAGAUCGAGACCUUCCUGGCUAACAUGGUGAAACCCCAUCUCUACUAAAAAUACAAAAAAAAAGUUAGCCGGGCAUCGUGGCGGGAGCCUGUAGUCCCAGCUACUCGGGAGGCUGAGGCAGGAGAAUGGCCUGAACCUGGGAGGCAGAGCUUGCAGUGAGCCAAGAUCUUGCUACUGCACUCCAGUCUGGGCGACAGAGUGAGACUCAAGUCUCAAAAAAAAAUAAAAUAAAAUAAAAAAUAAAAAAAACCUAGCCCUAUAUUCUUUCCUAGCUAUCAAGAUGGAAAACAACCACAUCAUUAAUUCAGAGGAGGGGUAAACCAAGUUAAUCAGACUCCAAGACCCAUACUAAUUGCUGACCAAGUAAUGCCACAAUAUUUCAUGGCUAAGGAUCUCCGACUUGUUCCAGUCCCUAAAAAUCUGUUCCGCACAGUUAAUAUUUCACAAAACCAAAAGGGCUUAGUUGCAAUCACAAAGAGCUAGAAAUCAGGAGACUCGUGGUUUCUAUUGAGUUCUGUCAUUAUCUGUCUAAUAAGAUAAAUAAGUCACUUUUCUGUAUCUCAGUCUCCACAUUUGUGAAGUGAGGGAAGAGAAACAUGUCCUAAAAACCAAGCAGGGGCUCUGGAAAGAAAAAGAGCUAAGAAUGGUGGGUUUUUAUUAAAAGUUACACAAGUUAAUGGUUUUUGUCUCCAUUUAUCUGAAAGUGGGUUAAAAAUAGCUUCCAAAUAAAGCAAAAAGAAUUUAUUUAGACUAAACUGCACCGGAGAAGUAGAGGAAUUAAGAGAUAGGACAAGCAAAGAUGGGAUGUUUCAGUGGAAGAAUUUCAGGGAGUAAAAAGGCUAUGCUGUAAAACCAGAACUUUUGUUAGCACUGCUUUUUUAAGAUGAAUUGGUCAUAGUUAAUGUAUUGGAUGGAAGAAUUUUUAAACAUCUGCCCCCAAAGUACGCUGCAUCCAAAAAAAUAUAUAACGAAACGAAUUCUUACUCAUUUGUGUUUAUUCUUGGACUUAUCCUGACAUAAUGGGGUUUUUAAAAUUAUAGACUCAUACUGCGUUUAUUCAUCGCCCCUGUCCUCUCAUCCAUAACUCAAAUUUACUACCAGCAACACAAAAUACAAAGAUGUGUCCAGUUUCACUACAGCUCUUCGCGUUUACAAGUAUCGAGCGCUUGCUUUCGGAACGCCCUUCUGAUUGGCCGAGCCAAUGCCAGUGACAUCAACCAACUUACUUUUGAUUGGAAGGCUGGUUGCUGGGACUGUAGCGUUUGCAGGAAGUCACUUAACUGUUUGGGAGCUGGAAAACCGAAGCUGAAGUUCUCUUUUGCCAUAGGAACGAGCGCAACUGACUAGGGAAGAUGUGUCCCAGAGCUCCGCAAGCUGGAACGUGAGCCAGGAGGCCCGGACCGACCACGGGACCGCGAGGCACUCCGAAAGUGUGCGGCUGCUCCUUCCCUGCCUCC
ensembl:lncRNA